AGUAUGUUAAUGAGAGAAAUGCCCGGGCUGCUGUAGCAGGAGAGGAUGGCAGAAUGAUUGCUGGCCAGGUUUUAGAUAUUAACCUGGCUGCAGAGCCAAAAGUGAACCGAGGAAAAGCAGAUGACUCUGCUGAGGAGGGGGACCUACUGGAUGAUGAUGAUAAUGAAGAUGGGGGGAUGACCAGCUGGAGUUGAUCAAGGAUGAUGAAAAAGAGGCUGAGGAAGGAGAGGAUGACAGAGACAGCGCCAAUGGCGAGGAUGACUCUUAAGCACAUAGUGGGGUUUAGAAAUCUUAUCCCAUUAUUUCUUUACCUAGGCGCUUGUCUAAGAUCAAAUUUUUCACCAGAUCCUCUCCCCUAGUAUCUUCAGCA
rnacentral:lncRNA from 1 species